rnacentral:ncRNA from 1 species
UUAUAAAGGCAAAACUGUCGAAAGAUAGUGACGCAAAGCUAUAGGGUCUAAGUCUUUUAAAGGAUAUGACGGCCAGUUGC